CACCAACUAGCAACGACGACAACAACAGCAGGCCCUACCAGUCUGCUGCAACGGUGGGUGAGUGCCAGAUAAAUUCAAAGUGGAAAAAUAAAUUUCUCAUCGACUGAACGUAAAACAAAGAUUUUUUCCCCUUAAACGAACUAAAAGAAACCACAGAAAACUAAAACGUGGCUUUAAUAAUAAGAGAUAAACUCGAUUAAAAUCAGAUAACAUGUAGGGAAAUUAAGAACAUAACGUAAACUGAAAAGCAAUUUAUAUAUGCUUAAGGUAUAUCAAAAGCUCGCUUAAAAUUAAUAACAAGGGCAACCAUAAAUGGUUUGUCUCCUAGCUAGAGAAAUUUAAAUAAAGAAACGGAGCACUAGUUAAAGGAAUACAAUUGAAGAAAUAAAAUUUAGUACUAAAUAAAUUUAGCUAUAGAAAAGAUUAAGGUUGAAUUAUCUACAAGAAAAAAAA